UAGUAUUGCGUUGGCCAGAAAGUUCAUUCAAGUUUUUCUGUAACCUCUUAUGGAAAAACCUGAAUGAGAUUUUUGGCCAACCCAAUAUAU
rnacentral:miRNA from 1 species